GUUGUCUAAAAGAUGUGGCUGCUGUGUCACAUGUGUGUCAGUAGGUGGCAGAAAAGAGAGAGGCUGUGUGUGUCUACACUCAGUGUUCUGACCUGUGAAGAUCUGAAUGAUUAGUAGUAUGACAUU